GGGGAAUAUUGGACAAUGGCGGGAACCCUGAUCCAGCCAUGCCGCGGGUGUGAAGAAGGUCUUAUGGUUGUAAAGCACUUUAAGCGCGGAGGAUGCGCUUUUGGUUAAUCCCCAAGAUGCGUGGACGUUACCAGCAGAAUCAGCACCGGCCAACUCUGUGCCAGCAGCCGCGGUAAUACAGAGGGUGCGAGCGUUAAUCGGAUUUACUGGGCGUAAAGCGUGCGUAGGCGGCUUUUUAAGUCGGAUGUGAAAUCCCCGAGCUUAACUUGGGAAUAGCAUUCGAUACUGGGAGGCUAGAGUAUGGGAGAGGAUGGUAGAAUUCCAGGUGUAGCGGUGAAAUGCGUAGAGAUCUGGAGGAAUACCGAUGGCGAAGGCAGCCAUCUGGCCUAAUACUGACGCUGAGGUACGAAAGCAUGGGGAGCAAACA
rnacentral:rRNA from 1 species